AACGAACGCUGGCGGCAGGCUUAACACAUGCAAGUCGAGCGCCCCGCAAGGGGAGCGGCAGACGGGUGAGUAACGCGUGGGAACGUACCCUUUGCUACGGAAUAGCUCCGGGAAACUGGAAUUAAUACCGUAUGUGCCCUACGGGGGAAAGAUUUAUCGGAGAUGGAUGAGCCCGCGUUGGAUUAGCUAGUUGGUGGGGUAAUGGCCUACCAAGGCGACGAUCCAUAGCUGGUCUGAGAGGAUGAUCAGCCACAUUGGGACUGAGACACGGCCCAAACUCCUACGGGAGGCAGCAGUGGGGAAUAUUGGACAAUGGGCGAAAGCCUGAUCCAGCCAUGCCGCGUGAGUGAUGAAGGCCUUGGGGUUGUAAAGCUCUUUCACCGGAGAAGAUAAUGACGGUAUCCGGAGAAGAAGCCCCGGCUAACUUCGUGCCAGCCGCCGCAGUAAAAC
rnacentral:rRNA from 1 species